rnacentral:lncRNA from 1 species
CUUAAUCAUAAGCACCUCCGAGGGGAGAAACCACUACGGUUACGGUGUGUUCUCCCUCUACGACACGAGACCCGCAGGACUCACUAGCAUCGACCCGUGCAAGAUCCUCGUGCAUGUUCAUAGAUGCUUCUGAGCCCAAGAGGCCAUGCUGUACCACGUAUAUAAGGAUCUGUCUCCAACCGUCUUCACAGCUCCAGCUGCGGCUGGGGGGUAGCUUUGUAGGAACAGGUUCAUGACAGCUGAGUUAAGUUCAGGAGAAACAGUAAUGGCCUCACUUUGUUAAAUGCUUUUGAGUAGGUUGCUAUCCAAACCUGUGCUAUCCAAAUGGGAGUGUUUCUGUGCUUUGCCAGGUAAGCGCCUAGCAGGGCCCGGGGUAGAAGGGCCCGUUGACAACGGAUAAACCUCUGGCACCUGCGUCCUCGGACUUGCCGUGUUCAGGUCCUCUGUGCGGCACAGGGCUUCAGGCCGAUCGGCAUUUCCUUGCUAAGCACAAUUCCAGCAGCGGGGUCUUGGCUUGCUUUUGGACGCAUUCUUCUUGGUCCAAGAAGCGCACUCCAGGAGUGCGCUGAAUUGUGCCUCAUGCGCCGCGGCCGGAACAGCACCGCGGUUUGUAAUAAAGGGGCUAUCUAUGUCAAAGAUGUGGGCAGCUCCAGUAACCCUUGUGCACCUCUUAGCCUCAAGACAACCAUGAACGUCUUGCCGAAUGCUCCACGGACAGCGCGGUUACCUCAAUUUACAUAAACCAAGGUGAAUGAAUCUUAAUCAUAAUACCAGGUAGUAAAUAGUGAUGCAGUUAGCUGGUCGAUACCGGCAGUUUGACCGGGUGGCCGCUAAAUGCUGUCACAUAAGCAAAACGGAACAUUUGGGGUGAGGGAUCAUUUACAAUACGCCACAGAAGCAUGUCAUUCCCUCGUAGGGACUAAGGGAAUUGACCCAACACAACGCACUCAUAAGCUUUAACCACUCAGUAAUAGUAUGUCCUGUGAUCUAGCUGCGUGGAAAUGCAUAUCGGCAAUUCCGUUGGAGCCACAGCGGCCAUACCUUCUGUUGCACUGUUGCAAAGCACACGGACAUAUGGACGUUACGACUGCCGUACUGCAGCUUAAAACUUCUCAACUGGAGCUUGCACAGCAUAUACA